rnacentral:rRNA from 1 species
UACGGAAGGCAGCAGGGGGAAUAUUGCACAAUGGGCGAAAGCCUGAUGCAGCUAUGCCGCGUGUAUGAAGAAGGCCUUAGGGUUGUAAAGUACUUUCAUCGGGGAGGAAAAACAAAACUAAUAAUUUUAUUUCUUGACGUUACCCGAAAAAGAAGCACCGGCUAACUCCGUGCCAGCAGCCGCGGUAAUACGGAGGGUGCUAGCGUUAAUCAGAAUUACUGGGCGUAAAGAGCACGUAGGUGGUUUUUUUAAGUCAGAUGUGAAAUCCCUGGGCUUAACCUAGGAACUGCAUUUUGAAACUGAAAUACUAGAGUAUCGUAGAGGGAGGUAGAAUUCUAGGUGUAGCGGUGAAAUGCGUAGAUAUCUGGAGGAAUACCUGUGGCGAAAGCGGCCUCCUAAACGAAUACUGACACUGAGGUGCGAAAGCGUGGGGAGCAAACAGGGAUUAGAUACCCGU